CCUACGGGAGGCUGCAGUGAGGAAUAUUGGUCAAUGGACGAGAGUCUGAACCAGCCAAGUAGCGUGAAGGAUGACUGCCCUAUGGGUUGUAAACUUCUUUUAUAAAGGAAUAAAACGAGGCACGUGUGCCCUUUUCCAUGUACUUUAAGAAUAAGGAUCGGCUAACUCCGUGCCAGCAGCCGCGGUUAUACGGAGGAUUCGAGCGUUAUUCGGAUUUAUUGGGGUUAAAGGGUGCGGAGGUUGUUUUUUAAGUCAGCGGUGAAAGUUUGUGGCUCAACCAUAAACUUGCCGUUGAAACUGGAAGACUUGAGUGUGUGAGAGGUAGGCGGAAUGCGUGGUGUAGCGGUGAAAUGCUUAGAUAUCACGAAGAACCCCGAUUGCGAAGGCAGCUUACUAGACUGUGACUGACAUUGAUGCUCGAAAGUGUGGGUAUCAAACAGGAUUAGAUACCCUGGUAGUC
rnacentral:rRNA from 1 species